GAUGAACGCUGGCGGCGUGCCUAAUACAUGCAGGUCGAGCGAACAGACGAGGAGCUUGCUCCUCUGACGUUAGCGGCGGACGGGUGAGUAACACGUGGAUAACCUACCUAUAAGACUGGGAUAACUUCGGGAAACCGGAGCUAAUACCGGAUAAUAUAUUGAACCGCAUGGUUCAAUAGUGAAAGACGGUUUUGCCGUCACUUAUAGAUGGAUCCGCGCCGCAUUAGCUAGUUGGUAAGGUAACGGCUUACCAAGGCAACGAUGCGUAGCCGACCUGAGAGGGUGAUCGGCCACACUGGAACUGAGACACGGUCCAGACUCCUACGGGAGGCAGCAGUAGGGAAUCUUCCGCAAUGGGCGAAAGCCUGACGGAGCAACGCCGCGUGAGUGAUGAAGGUCUUCGGAUCGUAAAACUCUGUUAUUAGGGAAGAGCAAAUGUGUAAGUAACUAUGCACGUCUUGACGGUACCUAAUCAGAAAGCCACGGCUAACUACGUG
rnacentral:rRNA from 1 species